rnacentral:lncRNA from 1 species
UUUUCUCAAGGUUGCAUCAACUUCCGGGGUGCCUUAUCAGCCUAAGUUUGAGGGGUGUCAUUCAUCCACUACCAUUGAUCCCGGGAUCGUCCAACCGUUUCUCAUCACUCUGUACACACAGUAAGUCCAAAAGAAAAGAAAACAAACAAAACAAACAAACACACUAAUAUAACGAUAACAUAACAAAAACAAAACAAAUUGAAAGAGAAUUAAA